rnacentral:rRNA from 1 species
CCUACGUGGUGCAGCAGUGGGGAAUAUUGCGCAAUGGGCGAAAGCCUGACGCAGCGACGCCGCGUGAGGGAUGAAGGUCUUCGUAUCGUAAACCUCUGUCAGCAGGGAAGAACGGUCACUGUGCUAAUCGGCAGUGAAUUGACGGUACCUGCAAAGGAAGCACCGGCUAACUCCGUGCCAGCAGCCGCGGUAAUACGGAGGGUGCGAGCGUUAAUCGGAAUUACUGGGCGUAAACCGCUCGUAGGCGGUAUGUCAAGUCAAGGGUGAAAUCCCCGCGCUCAACGUGGGAACUGCCUUUGAAACUGGCAAACUGGAGUGUGUGAGAGGAUAGUGGAAUGCCAGGUGUAGGAGUGAAAUCCGUAGAUAUCUGGAGGAACAUCAGUGGCGAAGGCGACUAUCUGGCACAUAACUGACGCUGAGGAGCGAAAGCGUGGGUAGCAAACAGGAUUAGAUACCCCUGUAGUC